rnacentral:piRNA from 1 species
UGCAACAUAUGCGGCUGGAGCCAUGAAUCC